AUUGAACGCUGGCGGCAGGCCUAACACAUGCAAGUCGAGCGUGCGGCGGACGGGUGAGUAAUGCCUGGGAAUUGCCCUGUCGAGGGGGAUAACAGUUGGAAACGACUGCUAACACCGCAUACGAAUGUAUCGCCCAGGUGGGAUUCGCUAGUUGGUGAGGUAAUGGCUCACCAAGGCGACGAUCCCUAGCUGGUCGGAGAGGAUGAACAGCCACACGGGAACUGGGACACGGUCCAGAAUCCUACGGGAGGCAGCAGUGGGGAAUAUUGCACAAUGGGGGAAACCCUGAUGCAGCCAUGCCGCGUGUGUGAAGAAGGCCUUCGGGUUGUAAAGCACUUUCAGCGGGGAGGCGUUACUCGCAGAAGAAGCACCGGCUAACUCCGUGCCAGCCGCCGCGGUAAUUC
rnacentral:rRNA from 1 species